AGAGUUUGAUCCUGGCUCAGGAUGAACGCUGGCGGCGUGCUUAACACAUGCAAGUCGAACGAACCUUCGGGUUAGUGGCGGACGGGUGAGUAACGCGUGAGAAUCUGCCCUCAGGAGGGGGACAACAGCUGGAAACGGCUGCUAAUACCCCAUAUGCCGCGAGGUGAAAUGAAUUUCGCCUGAGGAUGAGCUCGCGUCUGAUUAGCUAGUUGGUGUAGGUAAUGGCUCACCAAGGCAUCGAUCAGUAGCUGGUCUGAGAGGAUGAUCAGCCACACUGGGACUGAGACACGGCCCAGACUCCUACGGGAGGCAGCAGUGGGGAAUUUUCCGCAAUGGGCGAAAGCCUGACGGAGCAACGCCGCGUGAGGGAUGAAGGCCUCUGGGCUGUAAACCUCUUUUAUCAAGGAAGAAGAUCUGACGGUACUUGAUGAAUAAGCCACGGCUAAUUCCGUGCCAGCAGCCGCGGUAAUACGGGAGUGGCAAGCGUUAUCCGGAAUUAUUGGGCGUAAAGCGUCCGCAGGCGGCCCUUCAAGUCUGCUGUUAAAAAGCGGAGCUUAACUCCAUCAUGGCAGUGGAAACUGUUGGGCUUGAGUGUGGUAG
rnacentral:rRNA from 1 species